rnacentral:lncRNA from 1 species
GAAAAAAACAUAUAUUUUGAAUAAAUUGGGGUAAAAGUUUUGUAAAUAGACUAGUCCACGUAUGUCAACAGUAUGUAAUCAUCGAAUGUCGAUAGACUAUUUUAUACCAGAAAAAGAAGAAGAAGAAGAAGAAGAAGAAGAAGAAGAAGAAGAAGAAGAAGAAGAAGAAGAAGAAGAAGAAGAAGAAGAAGAAGAAGAAGAAGAAGAAGAAGAAGAAGAAAAGGAAGAAAAAGAAGAAGAAGAAAAAGAAGAAGAAGAAGAAGAAGAAGAAGAAGAAGAGAACCAAUUAGAUUUAAAUACAGGUUGAUGUAUAACUUGCUUUUGUUCAUCGAAGUUGUGGACAUAGUAAAAUCACAUAUUUAUUUUUCAAUAAGAUUGUUCUCGAACAAAGGAAGGAAUUCGUCAUCACAAUUGUUAUAUAUGCCAC